rnacentral:lncRNA from 1 species
GCAGAUGGUGGAGAUGCACGAGCUCGUGCCGGGGAAGCGCUUCGACCGUUAUCACGAGCUCGGACAGCACGCCUUCGGGCACAAGCUCGGUCUGUGGAUCGUGGUCCCCGUGCAGCUCGUGGUUCUAGCCGGAUUGAACAUAGUUUACCUCAUCACAGGCGGCAAAUCGCUGCAAAAAUUCCACGAUUUGGUUUGCAGACGACCUUGCAAGGAAAUCAAGCUCACUUAUUUCAUACUCAUUUUCUCCUCCGUCCACUUCGCCCUCUCCCAACUCCCCACCUUCAACUCCAUCUCCGGCGUGUCCCUCGCCGCUGCUGUCAUGUCGAUAAGGUGCGUACAUUUAUAAUUAAAUCUAUAUAUAUAUAUAUAAUUAAAGAGAUUUGUUGUUGCAGUUAUUCUACGGUGGCUUGGGCAGCUUCGGUUGAGAAAGGAGUUGUAGCGGGCGUGGAAUAUGGGUAUAAAUCGAGGAGUGAGGCUGGAACGGUGUUCAACUUCUUCAACGCGCUGGGGAGCAUGGCGUUCGCGUAUGGCGGCCACAACGUGGUGAUGGAGAUCCAAGCUACUAUGCCGUCCACGCCGCAUAAGCCUUCCAGGAAACCUAUGUGGAAGGGGGUCGUGGUUGCUUAUGUUAUCGUCGCGCUCUGCUACUUUCCCGUUGCUAUCAUUGGAUUCUGGGUGUUUGGUAAUAAAGUAGACGAAAACAUUCUCAUAACGUUGGACAAACCUAGAUGGCUCAUCGCCAUGGCUAACAUGUUUGUUGUGGUCCAUCUUGUUGGAAGCUAUCAGGUUAAUUAAUUAUCUUUUUUUUUUUUGUUAUAUUCUUUUUCAAGUUGUUGAUUUAGUAUUACAUGAUAUACAUAUGUAGUUGUAUGCAAUGCCGGUUUUUGACAUGAUAGAAGCUGUGCUCACAAAGAAGCUCAAGUUGAAGCCAACUUGGUAUCUGCGAUUUAUUUCAAGGAAUGCUUAUGUUGGUAAGUCUUUUUUUUUUUUUAAACUCCAACAAACCACUCAUUUUAGCUUAAUUGUUAAUUAUUUAAUUGUAUUUUUUUAAAGCUUUCACAACAUUCAUUGCUAUCACAUUCCCUUUCUUCAAUGCGCUCCUUGGAUUUUUCGGAGGAUUUGGGUUCGCGCCAACCACAUAUUUUGUAAGAAACUAAUUCUAUGUAUAUAAAACAAUUCAACACGAAUUAACUGCAGAAAUGUGACACAGAAAAAUUUAAUAUUUGUGCAGCUUCCCUGUAUUAUAUGGCUUAUGGUUCACAAGCCACGGAUGUUGAGCUUUUCUUGGUUGGCCUGCUGGGUAUGCCUAUAUAUAUAUUCAUACCCAGUUUCAUUAAUUAGUACUGCUAAUUAUUUAAUUUCCUGAUUUUUUUUUCUGAUUAUUUUAAUUUGCUUGUGAAUUUUCAGUUUUGCAUAAUAUUUGGUGUCCUCUUGAUGUUUGUUGGACCAAUUGGGGGGCUCAGGCAGAUUAUACUUCAAGCCAAAGAUUAUGAAUUCUACCAGUAAUUAAAGUCUUAAUUGUAAUUUUCUUGAUAGCUAUAUAUGUACUUUCUUUAGGGGAUCUGUAUAUGAAUAUAUCUUUAAUUUAUUGGUUCAAUUUUUUUUUUUCGUUGUAGAGAGUGACAGAAAUUCGAUAUAAUUAACAAAGAUAACUUUGUCGUUAUUAUAUUAAUAUUAGAAUAUUUAAAUAAAGAAUGAGCGUGUACUAGCUCAUGAUCUCAUAUAUAUAAUAAUAUAUACCUCAAAAAAGAAGAAAAAAAAUGAGCUGGGUUUAUUAUUAUAAGUAAUAAGUGGGAAGUCAAAGGUACUUUGCAUAUAUGUCUGCGCCACAUGCACCCGGUUUUAUGACAGCCAUGCGUAGUGAUAAGCAUAUUUAAUGUAUAUUCAAUUGGCAGUUUCAAAUGCUGUAUACAGUUCAAGGUUGACAAAUCAUAGAUAACAUUAAACUAAUGUGAAAAUAAAGUAAGAUCCAAAUCACAAUUACGGUGCAUCUCUUCUGAGUUAUCGGCAUGCUAUCAUAAAAAGUAUUUGAGUUAAUUAGUGCCAUCCAAGUUCUAAUCACCAAAAAGAUGGGUUGAAAUAAUAUUUUCAAAUUAAAGAUCGGACAAGAAAAUUACAUAAAUUUCUAAAUAGCAAUUUUAUUUUUAUUUUUUUCAAAACGAAUAUAACCAAACCAAAUUAAGAGCAUUAAAGACUAUGAAUAGGUUGAAUAUUCUAAUUAGAAUGAGUUGGCAAUGAGGAAAAAUUCUGGGAAAAGUCUGAGAGUAAGUCAAGUGUACGUUAUGUCUGCCAAUCACGUCUCUUAAUUGUGACAUAUGAAAUUGGAAGAUAAUUGAUGUAGAAUUGUAGAUAUAAUGAAAGUUGAUCAGAUUUUAUCAAAUUAAUAUUUGACACAAGAAAAAUUAGAAGAAAUUAUGUGUUGAUAUAAUGAUAGCUAGGAUAAUUAAUGUAUAAAUUACUCCCUCCAAUUUUUUUUAUAAGCCGUCCUUAGCUUUUUCACAGGUUUUAAUAAUAAUUAAAAAAAACCUAAACUAACCUUAUUUAAUGACACAAGACUGCAAAGAAAACUAGGGAGAAGAAACGAGUUUAUUAGAUAAAGCUUUGACUAUAAGUCUAUAAUUAAUGAGAUUAGGGGUAGAGAGGGUAACUAAACGUAAAACGGCUUAUAUUUUGCAAACAAUAUUUUUUAUAAAACGACUUAUAAAAAAGAUUGGAGGGAGUAUUAGAGAUGUCAUGUUCGAAUUCACUGUCACAUAAUUUUUAAAAUAUCGACAAUUUUUAAAUAGUUUUUAUACUUUUAAUGACAAGAGAUCGUGUGUGUGUGUGAGAGGGGGGUGGUUGGAGAAUUAUUAGGGUGAAGAGGGUGAGGAUUGAACCUCGCUUUUUCUCCCUGAGAUGGAUGAAGAAUACCACUAAAUUAUACUCCCUCUGUCCCGCCCAAGAUGCUACAUAUUCUUUUUUGGGCCGUCCCAACGAAGAUGCUACAUUUCUAUAUUUGGCAAAAAUAAGAAAUUUUAAACACUUAAUUAACACUAAUUAAGUAUUUCUUUAUUACAUUUUCUCUCCUACUUUAUCACUUUAUUACCUUCUCUUUCUUACUUUAUCACUUUAUUACUUUCUCUCUCCUACUUUAUCACUUUAUUAUUACACACUUAAAACAUUAAUCUACAAUUCCUUAAAUCCCGUGCCGAAAAACAAAUGUAGCGCCUUGGCCGGGACGGAGGGAGUAUGUUUGUGAUGGAUAGUUUUUAUCUUUUGAAAUUAAAAGUGAGUACAAACCAAUUAAGGCCAUUGAGGUUUGCAAAUUGUCGUUUUGAAUACCACAAAUUUGACUGUCGAGUCGAGUGUCGAUUCUGACAAGUUUUAUAAUUUAGUUAUAUAGGUCCAUCUCGUAUGCGUUUCAAGCCAAGUAAGGCCAAAUUGGGUAUAGUAAUUACUUGCUCUUCUUCGACACGUAUGGUUUGAAUUGGGUUGUGGAUUAUCAUAGAUUUAUAAUUAUCAUAGAUUUAUCAUAGAUUUAUUUGAAGUACUUCAUUAAGAAAUUUACAAAUUACAUAAUUAAAACUCAAAAUAUAAUUUUCUUUUCUUCUCUAAUUUUAGUAUUCAACUUUUAAGUCGUCUUUUGUAAGUCUUCAGAUAAAAAGAUCCAUAUCAAUCACUUUCCUAUUUUUUGCUUGAUCACUAAUUUUAUGUUACAGCCUACAUUCUUUAUAAUCUUCUUUCUUUCUUUCCCACCACAACUCAUAUAAAUACUACUAAAGCAUAAAAUAUUUUAAACAAUAUAUAUAUAUAUAUAUCGAACUCAGGACCAUAAAUCCAUCCAACAUGAUUACGAAUCAACUGUAAAUCUUGAUGAUCUAAGGGCUGAAAAUGAUUCUUAUUUUAUAUCUUAAGAAAUGCUCUUAUUUUAGCCCUUCCCUAUAUAUAUAUAUCCACUUUGGGAAGGACUACCGUGAGAGCAACUCUUAAAAUAAAAAAUAAGAACUAUGAAAAAUGUAUGAAUAUUUUAUGUAAAACACAUAUGAAUUCGUUAUGAAUUGCGAAAAAUAAAUUUUUGCUACCUUUGGUAUUCGAACUCAGGACCAUGAAUUAAUUCAUCCAACAUAAUGAUGAAUCAACCGUAGAUCUUGAUGAUCUAAGAGUUGAAAAUAGUUCUUAUUUUAUAUCUUAAGAAGUGUACUUAUUUUAGUCCUCAUCUAUCCACUUUUAUCAAUAUAAUUUGUUGUUUGGAUUUUGGCCAAUUUCCUUAAAAUUGAAAGUAAAACUUUAAAUCAUGUGAAGACUUACAAAAGACGACUUAAAAUCUCAUCCGAUAUCCAAAUCUCAGUGUUUGGAUUUUGGCCAAUUUCCUUAAAAUUGAAAGUAUAAUUAAUCAAUUAAUUAAGUGGUGGGCCAUAUAGAUAGAACGGAAGUACGGCGUUAGGUAACCAGUUAUUUCUGGGAUGGUUCGACCUCUGAAUAUCACAAAUGAACUCAUUUAACGCCUGCUCAUUUAUUAACUUCCGCAAACAAGAAACACGACCACCGUCCACCAAUCCUAAACCUUUUAUUUACUCUUUUUUUUCCCGAUAUAGCUACAGCAGUCAAUGGAACCUGAGGUUCCAAUUUAUGGCAAGAACAAUUACUACAAUAGUUAUAGUGUAAGUCUCUGCGUGUAUGUGUGUGUGUGAGAGACGAACAAAGCAUGCCUUGAAUGGUGUUUGUAAUUCCUUCAACUAAUUUGAUUGCUAAAAGAAGCGUGUAAAAUUAAUUGCAGUCGGAAGAGCGGAUAGCAGAAGAGAGGGCCAUAGACGACUGGCUUCCAAUCACAUCUUCGCGGACAGCAAGAUGGUGGUUUUCAGCAUUCCACAACGUGACCGCCAUCGUGGGCGCCGGAGUCCUCAGCCUCCCUUACGCCAUGUCCCAACUCGGAUGGUAAAACGCACAUGCAGUUUGACUUUGACCUAAUAUCUGUAGCUAUAUGUAUGGUGACGUGGCGCGGUGUGCAGGGGUCCCGGUGUGUCGUUCCUGGUGCUAUCCUGGGUGGUGACGCUCUACUCGUUGUGGCAGAUGGUGGAGAUGCACGAGCUCGUGCCGGGGAAGCGCUUCGACCGUUAUCACGAGCUCGGACAGCACGCCUUCGGACACAAGCUCGGUCUGUGGAUCGUGGUCCCCGUGCAGCUCGUGGUUCUAGCCGGAUUGAACAUAGUUUACCUCAUCACAGGCGGCACAUCGCUGCAAAAAUUCCACCAUUUGGUUUGCAAAGAUUGCAAGAAAAUCAAGCUCACUUAUUUCAUACUCAUUUUCUCCUCCGUCCACUUCGCCCUCUCCCAACUCCCCACCUUCAACUCCAUCUCCGGCGUGUCCCUCGCCGCUGCUGUCAUGUCGAUAAGGUACGUACAUUUAUAAUUAAAUCUAUAUAAAUAUAAUUAAUUAAAGAGAUUUGUUGUUGCAGUUAUUCUACGGUGGCUUGGGCAGCUU